rnacentral:misc_RNA from 1 species
AGGGAUCUGCCACCUUUCAUUCCUGUAGUGGGUAAAUUUGAAGUCAAUUUAUUCCAAUGAUUUGCGAAGGGGAACUGCAAACUAAAUUCAACACUCUGAAAUCAACUAAGCCUUUAUCUGCGUGCCAACUAUACCCAACUGCAAGAUAUGGCCCGUGGACUAUAUUGAAGACCAGGAUCAAUUUCUCAGAAAUACAAUGAUUUUUUUCAAACCCGAAAAAAAAGCAACAGAGAGAGAGAGAGCGUGCAAAGAACUAACAGAAAGGAAAUAACAGUAAAGGUCUACUCCAUUCUCAUAAUCAUAUAAAAUGAAUUUCCAUUUUCAGAUGGAAUACCGCCACACAGCAUCAUUGGCAUAUUAAUUUCCACUGUAGUGCUUUUCUACUAUGUGGGCAAGCAGGACUAAAGUUGAUUCAGCAAAGAAUCAAAACAUACUGAUUGAAGGAAUCAGACAGAGGACUAACCUUGCAUGGAUGUUCGUGACUCA